UAUCUAUCUCACUUCAUUCUCACCGUUGUCGCCGCAGCUUCUUCUAACCCUAGCGCCGCCGAUUCCUCUAAACCCUAGCGCCCCCGCUUCCACUAUUUCCGAACAAACCGUCGCCCUCGCCACCGUGCUCACCAACGUUCUCACCGCCGCUUACUCUAAACACUAGCUAGCACCGCCGUUUCUUCUAAACCCUAGCGCCGCCGCUUCUUCUAAACCCUAGCGCCGCCGCUUCUUCUCUGUAAACCGUAGCGCCGUUUCUCUGUAAACCCUAACGCCGAUCUAUAACCACAAUGACGAGUACUCGAACUCCUUCUGCGACUAAUCAGACAAAAAGGAUGGAUAUUCCAGAACUCCCCCGUAGGUUAUACACAUUAGGGGAAGAGCCAGAACCCCACAAUAGCAUUUCGUAUCAUACGGAUAACACGAAGUUGCAUACUGCUCUUAGGG